GAGACACACACACCACACACACACACACACACACACACACACACACACACACAUCUGACAAGGCUGCUACGGUGUGAGCCAUGCUCACCUACAGUAAGUGGAGAUUGGAUGGAAACUAAAGUUAUAUAGCUGACACACACCUUACCAAUCCACCCUGACACGAUACUCCUGUCUCUGCUGUUAAGGUGCUGCUAGGUGGUAGUCAUGCUACUGUCUCUGCUGUUAAGGUGCUGCUAGGUGGUAGUCAUGCUACUGUCUCUGCUGUUAAGGUGCUGCUAGGUGGUAGUCAUGCUACUGUCUCUGCUGUUAAGGUGCUGCUAGGUGGUAGUCAUGCUACUGUCUCUGCUGUUAAGGUGCUGCUAGGUGGUAGUGAUGCUACUGUCUCUGCUGUUAAGGUGCUGCUAGGUGGUAGUCAUGCUACUGUCUCUGCUGUUAAGGUGCUGCUAGGUGGUAGUGAUGCUACUGUCUCUGCUGUUAAGGUGCUGCUAGGUGGUAGUGAUACUCCUGUCUCUGCUGUUAAGGUGCUGCUAGGUGGUAGUCAUGCUACUGUCUCUGCUGUUAAGGUGCUGCUAGGUGGUAGUCAUGCUACUGUCUCUGCUGUUAAGGUGCAGCUAGGUGGUAGUGCUGCUAGGUGGUAGUGCUGCUAGGUGGUAGUGAUGCUACUGUCUCUGCUGUUAAGGUGCUGCUAGGUGUUGUUUUUUUUACCCUAACCCCCCCCGGUCCCGACAUAAUCAAAUCAAAUCAAAUUUUAUUUGUCACAUACACAUGGUUAGCUGAUGUUAAUGCGAGUGUAGCGAAAUGCUUGUGCUUCUAGUUCCGACAAUGCAGUUAUAAUCCAACAAGUAAUCUAACUAACAAUUCCAAAAAAAACUCUACUCUACUGGCGGACCGGAGCCAAACCCAGAACCGGGCCAAUGCGGACCGCAAGGCCCAAAAAAAGUUCAAAAAG